rnacentral:rRNA from 1 species
GACGAACGCUGGCGGCGUGCCUAAUACAUGCAAUUCGAGCGAAUCAGAUGGGAGCUUGCUCCCGGAUGAUUAGCGGCGGACGGGUGAGUAACACGUGGGCAACCUGUCCGUAAGAUUGGGAUAACUCCGGGAAACCGGGGCUAAUACCGGAUAAUUCAUUUUCUCACAUGAGGGAAUGCUGAAAGACGGUUUCGGCUGUCACUUACAGAUGGGCCCGCGGCGCAUUAGCUAGUUGGUGAGGUAACGGCUCACCAAGGCAACGAUGCGUAGCCGACCUGAGAGGGUGAUCGGCCACACUGGGACUGAGACACGGCCCAGACUCCUACGGGAGGCAGCAGUAGGGAAUCUUCCGCAAUGGACGAAAGUCUGACGGAGCAACGCCGCGUGAGCGAAGAAGGCCUUCGGGUCGUAAAGCUCUGUUGUCAGGGAAGAACAAGUACCGGAGUAACUGCCGGUACCUUGACGGUACCUGACCAGAAAGCCACGGCUAACUACGUGCCAGCAGCCGCGGUAAUACGUAGGUGGCAAGCGUUAUCCGGAUUUAUUGGGUUUAAAGGGAGCGUAGGCGGGUUGUUAAGUCAGUCGUCAAAGCCUGUGGCUCAACCACAGCCCGCGACUGAUACUGGCGGCCUUGAGUGCGGAUGAGGUGGAUGGAAUUCGUGGUGUAGCGGUGAAAUGCUUAGAUAUCACGAAGAACUCCGAUUGCGAAGGCAGUUCACUGGGCCGCAACUGACGCUGAAGCUCGAAAGUGCGGGUAUCAAACAGGAUUAGAUACCCUGGUAGUCCGCACCGUAAACGAUGGACACUCGCUGCCGGCGAUAUACAGUCGGUGGCCCCGCGAAAGCCUUAAGUGUCCCACCUGGGGAGUACGCCGGCAACGGUGAAACUCAAAGGAAUUGACGGGGGCCCGCACAAGCGGAGGAACAUGUGGUUUAAUUCGAUGAUACGCGAGGAACCUUACCCGGGUUAGAAUGCAACAUGAAUAUAUGCGAAAGUGUAUAGUCUUCGGACAUGUUGCGAGGUGCUGCAUGGUUGUCGUCAGCUCGUGCCGUGAGGUGUCGGGUUAAGUCCCAUAACGAGCGCAACCCCUACCCUCAGUUGCCAGCUGGUGAAGCAGGGGACUCUGGGGGAACUGCCUGCGCAAGCAGAGAGGAAGGCGGGGAUGACGUCAAAUCAGCACGGCCCUUACGUCCGGGGCGACACACGUGCUACAAUGGUCGGCACAGAGGGCAGCCACCUGGUGACAGGGAGCUAAUCCAUAAAGCCGGUCUCAGUCCGGAUCGGAGUCUGCAACUCGACUCCGUGAAGCUGGAAUCAGCUAGUAAUCGCGCAUCAGCCAUGGCGCGGUGA